rnacentral:lncRNA from 1 species
GGAUUUUUUUCUUAAUAAGACUUGGAUAUUUUUAUUUUUGGCCUUAAGGAAUUACUUCCAAGUAGCUUUGCUUCCAAUUACUUCAAUAGUGGCUGAUUAUUAAAUUUUUGUAAAGAGUUUUUUUUCAUGAAACUUAAAUAUAAAUAUAACCCUGAUAGAGUCCAAGAAAUUUCUAUUUAUCAAUAAUAAUUAUUUUUCUAACCAAUGUAGAUAAUAAAAUUAACAAGGUUAAAGAAUAAAUUAUAAAGAAGCAAUAAAUAGAAGAGUACAAAUUUUUAGUUAUUUAGUUAUAUAAAAUUUUAAUUGAGUCUUUUUCACUUACUAAUAGAAUUAAAACUGUAAAUUUGCUUACAUAUGUUCUUUCAAAUCAUUCAUUUUAUUCUCGUCUUUAUCUUUAAAAAUAAUUUUUGUAUCGAUUUAAAUUUCAGAAUUUCUUCAUUAGGGUUUUUAACUUGAAUUUUGAUAUUUUAAUCUAAGUGUUUCAACAUAAUUUUUAUUAUUUUAUCAUUAUGAAUUAAAUUUUAAUGCAACAAAGUAAUGGAAUUUCAGAAUAUUUCUAAUACAUUUCUAAUAUAUUGAUGUUACAUUGCACUAUCAAUAAUUUCAUAUAUGUCUUCAUUUAUAUAAUUUAGGUAUAUUAUAACACUAAAUAUGUCAUUUCUUUGAGUGGGUGCUUUGUGAACACAAUCCAAUAGCUCUUGUAAACUCCUAGACCUUUAAGGUAUAUUUCUUUUAAAACAAUAAACCAUGUAUCUAUUAUUAAAAAAUUUAAAUUGAUCAGUUAAUUAAUUAUAUACUGAUUAUUUUAUGAAAUAGAAAACAUGUAAUUUUGAUAAUAAAUUUAAAUUCAUUUUACAAUUGACUUGUGGGAUCAAAUGCUAACUUUUUGAUAUUAGGUUUUCAACUUUGAUUUCAUGUACAAUUUCAGGUACCCAAAUAAAUGUAUCACUUCUGUAUUAUAAUAUAUGAUAGAGCUACAAAUUGGUUGUCAUGUGAACCUCCAGCAUUGUUUUAAACACAAAAUGUUGCAAGGACUAACUCCCUAUUACACUGUACAUUUCUGGUGCAAAAACCCAAA